GCGCCGCGGUGUGGGUUGACGUGGCUGAGAUGUGGCUUCCCGCACUGCCCGACUGGGGAUCCGUUUCUAGUCUGGAGGGAGUGGACCGACCGCGCGGGAUCCUGUCAAGUUCUGCAGAGUGUCAUUGACGAUGGUGGUUACAACCGACUUGCUUUGGAAGUGGACUUGGGACAAGAGCAUUGGGAGUGUUCGGGGCAACGAAAUUGAAGUCUGUCUUGCUCAAGACAUCUGCCCAGCACCUCAGCUCCUGGGUGGAAGCCCAUAACGCCAGGAUGCAUCUGGUUCCGAUGUACCUGCCAGGUUGCCAGGGUGAUAUGGGCAUCGAUGCCUAGGCUGUGUGGCCCACCCUUGACCUGCUUGGGAUUAACAGGUCCUCUCUCAGCAGCACUAAAGCUUUUGAUUAUUUCGGAGCUCUGGGUGGCCUCUUCCCUUCCGUGAAGCCCAUGGACGACCUCCUCACUUCUGUUAUGUCAGAGUUAAUUGCCCCAGCAGUGGGGUGUCACUCAUGGUGGGAUGGCCAAAAAAUACUGCAGGCAAGGACAGUAUCCUCAGCAGGCAACAGAGUUGUAUCCUCACCACCUACCUUGUGGUGUAAGGAAUAACAUCUGUGGAGUUUUUGUACCUGCUCCUGGCCUUGAACUCGAGCUCUAAAGGCCUCAUUAUCUGCUUGUUGUGCGCUGAACUGCUUUGUGGUUCCUAAAGUGAUGCUGCAGCUACCGACUUGGAGAUUUCAAUCCUGCAAGUCUCUCGCUGCGCUGCGAAAGCAAUAGCCAAGUAAUGGGCUUAAUGGCCUAUGUCGUCUCUGUGGUCCAUCUCAUGGCCUUUCUACCUGCACACCACACAGUCACUUGGAGAAAAAUCAAGUGUAUGUACCUCUCCCUGCAGAUGGUCUAUCUGUAAAGGUGGGUUUUUCAGACUUGAAAAUGUAAAUGAAAAGCUAACCCCUUCCCUGCCAGCCCAUUUCUGGAGUCCUGAGAGCCUGCCAGGUUGGCUUCUGCUCAAAGAGUGUGCAAAGUUCAAGCCAAUGAUCCGGGAUCCACCUUCUGCUGAGAGCCUGUCCUUGGGGGGGCACAUCAUUCCUGAGCUCCUGGAUGUGCUUCAACAAAAUAUCACUUGUUCAUUAAAAAGAAAACAAAGAAAGAAAAAAAGAAAGAAAGAAAGAAAGAAAGAAAGAAAGAAAGAAAGAAAGAAGAAUUAAAAGAUGCUUGUG